GCAUAUCAAUAAGCGGAGGAAAAGAAACUAACAAGGAUUCCCCUAGUAACGGCGAGUGAAGAGGGAACAGCCCAAAUUUGUAAUCUGGCCCCUUUGGGGGGUCCGAGUUGUAAUCUCGAGAACUGUUUUCCGCGCUGGACCAUGUACAAGUCUGUUGGAAUAUAGCUUCAUAGAGGGUGAGAAUCCCGUACAUGACAUGGACUACCAGUGCUUUGUGAUACAGUCUCUAAGAGUCGAGYUGUUUGGGAAUGCAGCUCAAAUUGGGUGGUAAAUUCCAUCUAAGGCUAAAUAUUGGCGAGAGACCGAUAGCGAACAAGUACCGUGAGGGAAAGAUGAAAAGCACUUUGGAAAGAGAGUUAACAGUACGUGAAAUUGUUGAAAGGGAAACGCUUGAAGUCAGCCUUGUUCUUGGUUGUUCAGCCUUUGCGGGCGUAUUCAACCUUGAGCAGGCCAGCAUCAGUUUUGGGUGCUGGAUAAGGGCUUAGGAAAUGUGGCAGCCUCGGCUGUGUUAUAGUCCUUUGCUUGAUACAGUGCUCUGGGACUGAGGAAUGCAGCGAGCCUUUUGGCGGGUCCAUUUUUAUGGACCUUCUCGCUUUGGAUGCUGGCGUAAUGGCUUUAAACGACCCGUCUUGAAACACGGACC
rnacentral:rRNA from 1 species